UACUGUUAAGAAAUUCUAAAUGACGUGAUCGUUUGAUUUCUGAGGAGGAAGGAGAGGCUUGGUCCAAUUGAAAGAUUAAGCAAAAGGUUUAAUAAACAAUAUGAUGAAAAUGACAAGACAAAAACCAAAUGUUGCACUGCAGCUGACAGCGGACUGAAUCAUGCUUCUCCUUAUGGGAGUCACAUAAAAACAGUCUUGUGACAUGACAAAACAAUACACUGUAAACAGCGGUCUGCAGAACCUGUUUCCCUUGUGGGGUCACAGUUUGCAGCCCCGAAAUCACCUCUGUUUCAGAAUUAUAUUCCUGUGGAAUUGUGGGUCUCUGAUAUAAAGACACACCUCUGAUUUUUGACACCUUUAUUUGAGUUUCACUCCAGGUCACAGACAAAGGUCGUUUAUCAUGGUAGUGCCAAUUCUAUUCAACUUUACAGAGAUAUGCAUUUGCUUU